GUCCACGCCGUAAACGAUGAGUGCUAGAUGUUUCUGGUAUUGACCCCGGAGGUGUCGUAGCUAACGCGUUAAGCACUCCGCCUGGGGAGUACGGCCGCAAGGCUAAAACUCAAAGGAAUUGACGGGGGCCCGCACAAGCGGUGGAGCAUGUGGUUCAAUUCGACGCAACGCGAAGAACCUUACCUGGGUUGGAACCCUCCAGAAGUCCGCAGAGACGCGGAUGUGCUCGCAAGAGAGCUGGAUGUCCAGGUGCUGCAUGGCUGUCGU
rnacentral:rRNA from 1 species